rnacentral:rRNA from 1 species
CCUACGGGUGGCUGCAGUGGGGAAUAUUGCGCAAUGGGCGAAAGCCUGACGCAGCGACGCCGCGUGAGGGAUGAAGGUCUUCGGAUCGUAAACCUCUGUCAGCAGGGAAGAACGGUCACUGUGCUAAUCAGCAGUGAAUUGACGGUACCUGCAAAGGAAGCACCGGCUAACUCCGUGCCAGCAGCCGCGGUAAUACGGAGGGUGCGAGCGUUAAUCGGAAUUACUGGGCGUAAAGCGCGCGUAGGCGGUAUGUCAAGUCAAGGGGGAAAUCCCCGCGCUCAACGUGGGAACUGCCUUUGAAACUGACAAACUGGAGUGUGUGAGAGGAUAGUGGAAUUCCAGGUGUAGGGGUGAAAUCCGUAGAUAUCUGGAGGAACAUCAGUGGCGAAGGCGACUAUCUGACACAUAACUGACGCUGAGGAGCGAAAGCGUGGGUAGCAAACAGGAUUAGAUACCCGAGUAGUC